UGGCCUCUUAGCCAGCGU
rnacentral:snRNA from 1 species